CUCCUACUCCCUCCGUCCGGAAAUACUUGUCCGAGGAAUGGAUGUAUCUAGAUGUAUUUUAGUUCUAGAUACAUCCAUUUGUAUCCAUUUCUACGACAAGUAUUUCCGGACGGAGGGAGUACGUG
rnacentral:pre_miRNA from 1 species